AGGACGAACGCUGGCGGCGUGCUUAACACAUGCAAGUCGAACGGUGACCUCGGAGCUUGCUCCGGGUGAUCAGUGGCGAACGGGUGAGUAACACGUGGGCAACCUGCCCCCUGGCUCUGGGAUAACUCCGGGAAACCGGAGCUAAUACCGGAUAUGAGACCGAUUGGCAUCAAUACGGUCUGGAAAGUUUUUCGGCCAGGGAUGGGCUCGCGGCCUAUCAGCUUGUUGGUGGGGUAAUGGCCCACCAAGGCGACGACGGGUA
rnacentral:rRNA from 1 species